rnacentral:rRNA from 1 species
UACGAAGGGGGCUAGCGUUGCUCGGAUUUACUGGGCGUAAAGGGCGCGUAGGCGGCGCAACAAGUCACUUGUGAAAUCUCCGGGCUUAACCCGGAGCGGCCAAGUGAUACUGUCGUGCUAGAGUGCGGAAGGGGCUACUGGAAUUCUCGGUGUAGCGGUGAAAUGCGUAGAUAUCUGGAGGAACACCGGUGGCGAAGGCGGCAUCCUGGACCGGUAUGACGCUGAGGCGCGAAAGCCAGGGGAGCAAACGGG